CAAGGCAUUCGUAUAAAUUGGCACACAUAUAUCCUUUCCCGCACUUUUCUUAUACAUUUUUGUUUAUAUAUACCAUGCAUGUAGUAUUUAAUGAUACCCAUAAACGUAAAAUUUCAAGCAUAUAUAAUUGCUGGCAUAUUUGUAACUUACUCUCUAUCCAAAAGAGAGCCAUAUUUGAAACAGUAAACAGUUUUGUAUGUUUUUAACGGGACUAGCUAACAGUCGUGGGUCGUGGGUCGUGGGUAGAAUGUCGUGGGUCGUGGGUAAAAUGUCGUGGGUCGUGGGUAAAAAGGCGUGGGUCGUGGGUAAAAAGGCGUGGGUCGUGGGUAAAAAGGCGUGGGUCGUGGGUAAAAAGGCGUGGGUCCCUGAAAAAAUUUCCGUAUAUCCCGAAUGUACGUAGAGUCCCAUUUAGGGUUGUUGAUAUCAGGGCCGCCGAGAACUUGGCGGGGGCCCGGGACAAAUGUUUUUCAG